AAGGAACACUUGCUGUGGUAUGUGGUUGUGUUCUUGUGAGUCGUAUCACAGUGAGUGUUACCUAG
rnacentral:pre_miRNA from 1 species